UACGGAGGAUGCGAGCGUUAUCCGGAUUUAUUGGGUUUAAAGGGUGCGUAGACGGACGCUUAAGUCAGCGGUAAAAUUGCGGGGCUCAACCUCGUCGAGCCGUUGAAACUGGGUGCCUUGAGUGGGCGAGAAGUACGCGGAAUGCGUGGUGUAGCGGUGAAAUGCAUAGAUAUCACGCAGAACUCCGAUUGCGAAGGCAGCGUACCGGCGCCCUACUGACGCUGAAGCACGAAGGCGUGGGUAUCGAACAGG
rnacentral:rRNA from 1 species